GGGGGUAAAGUUGCGAAACUAAAUCAUAAGCUACGCUCGUAGAAACUCCUAAUGGGGACGGGAGUUCGAAUCUCCCCACCUCCACCA
rnacentral:tRNA from 1 species